AACCUUAUGGACCUGCGGGCGUAUACCUGCGGAGGGAUCAUUAUCAAAACAGCGGCCUUCGGGCCUCGCUGCACCCUUGUCUUUUGCGCACCGUAUUGUUUCCUCGGCGGGCUUGCCUGCCGGUUGGACAUCAUAAAACCUUUUUGUAGUUGCAAUCAGCGUCAGAAAAACAAUAAUUAUUACAACUUUUAACAAUGGAUCU
rnacentral:misc_RNA from 1 species